GAAAGUUUCCUCCACCACCACUCCAGACCACCCACUCACUCUCUUCUCUUUCUUUUCUCUCUCCAUGCGGAGCUGAGAGAAAAUCAAAAGCAAAUCAAACCUCCAUUAUGAUUUCUUCCUCCUUUUUUGCUGUCAACAAAAUCUAGGGUUUCUGCCGUGGAGUUUGAAGAAAGUUUCCUCAUCUCUGUUGUCUGUUUCUUCCAGUUCCCUCAAGUAGUAGAAGAAGAUCACCAUGGAUUCGGUAGGAAAUCUUGAUGAAAAAAUUGGUCUGCUUAUGCAGUGCAAACCCUUGUCCGAGCAGGCGGUAAGAGGACUGUGCGAGAAAGCCAAGGAGAUUCUAGUGCAAGAGAGUAAUGUGCAGCCUGUGAAAAGCCCUGUGACGAUAUGUGGUGAUAUUCAUGGGCAGUUCCAUGAUCUUGCUGAGCUUUUUCGAAUUGGUGGGAAGUGUCCUGACACUAAUUAUUUAUUCAUGGGAGAUUAUGUGGAUCGUGGAUACUAUUCUGUCGAAACAGUCUCGCUUUUGGUGGCUCUCAAAGUUCGCUAUCCCCAACGAAUUACAAUCCUAAGGGGAAAUCAUGAGAGUCGUCAGAUUACUCAGGUUUAUGGGUUU
rnacentral:misc_RNA from 1 species